CUUUGGGAUAACCCUCGGAAACGGGGGCUAAUACCGGAUAUUCAUGACUGGGCGCAUGUUUGGUUGUGGAAAGUUUUUUCGGCUAGGGAUGGGCUCGCGGCCUAUCAGCUUGUUGGUGGGGUGAUGGCCUACCAAGGCUUUGACGGGUAGCCGGCCUGAGAGGGCGACCGGCCACACUGGGACUGAGACACGGCCCAGACUCCUACGGGAGGCAGCAGUGGGGAAUAUUGCACAAUGGGCGGAAGCCUGAUGCAGCGACGCCGCGUGAGGGAUGACGGCCUUCGGGUUGUAAACCUCUUUCAGCAGGGACGAAGCGUGAGUGACGGUACCUGCAGAAGAAGCGCCGGCCAACUACGUGCCAGCAGCCGCGGUAAGACGUAGGGCGCGAGCGUUGUCCGGAUUUAUUGGGCGUAAAGAGCUCGUAGGCGGCUUGUCGCGUCGACUGUGAAAACCUGCGGCUUAACCGUGGGCUUGCAGUCGAUGCGGGCAGGCUCGAGUUCGGUAGGGGAGACUGGAAUUCCUGGUGUAGCGGUGAAAUGCGCAGAUAUCAGGAGGAACACCGGUGGCGAAGGCGGGUCUCUGGGCCGAUACUGACGCUGAGGAGCGAAAGCGUGGGGAGCGAACAGGAUUAGAUACCCUGGUAGUCCACGCUGUAAACGUUGGGCGC
rnacentral:rRNA from 1 species